rnacentral:rRNA from 1 species
AUACGGAGGAUGCGAGCGUUAUCCGGAUUUAUUGGGUUUAAAGGGUGCGUAGGCGGACGAUUAAGUCAGCUGUGAAAUGCCCGCGCUUAACGCGGGAAGUGCAGUUGAUACUGGUUGUCUGGAGUGCCGUUGCCGUGGGGGGAAUGUGUAGUGUAGCGGUGAAAUGCAUAGAUAUUACACAGAACGCCGAUUGGGAAGACACCUCCCGAAGGGGUAAGUAACGCUGAGGCACGAAAGCGUGGGGAUCGAACAGGAUUAGAUCCCCUGGUAGCCCACGCAGUAAACGAUGAUGACUAGCCGUCGGCGACAGACCGCCGGUGGCCAAGCGAAAGCGAUAAGUCAUCCACCUGGGGAGUACGACCGCAAGGUUGAAACUCAAAGGAAUUGACGGGG